CAAUGAGCCUGAACCUCAGCUAACAAGCCUGGGUCAAAGCCUGUGAUCUGGAGAGAAAAUGUCCAAAGAGGAAAGGAACUGGCGACCAGCGUAGUUACAGAAACACUUCUCUCCAGGAUAAAGCCAAUUUCUUUGUUUGCUGAACCAUAGCCUAAAAAAGCAAUGCUCAGUAUUUAUGAGCUCUGAUUCUCAGUCAGACUACUGAGAGCAACUUCCAUGAUUAGAAGAGAGAAAGAGAUUGACUUUUGGCAUCCGAAAACACAUGUCCCUCACUAACUCAAUUGUGACUGCCUGCAGGAGAACAGAGCUCUCUCUUUACGGCAACUGAGAGGUUAUACGAAAAAUUGUGUAGUGAUGGGCAGCAAUAGUGGUAGAGGGGCGGGAAGAGGGCCAUGAGGAUGAGAGGGAUAAGGAAAAGCGAAAGAAACGAAUGGUUUCUAAGUUUCUUGUGUUUCUUCCUUUAUCUGUUUCCUUUCUACCUACUACUUCAUGAUUGCUGUAGGUAUGUACAUGGAGUACCUUAAUUUGUGAGCAUCUGUUCAUUCAGUUUGAAUUUUGUAUUCUCUAGGGGAAAUUUUGUAAUGCAAUGAGCAUAAAAUGAGUUGCAAAGCCAUUAGUUGCAGCAGAGGUGGGGAGGGGGUCUCUUACCUGAGGUGCUGCUUUGAAAAUGGCCUCUGGUACUCCUGGCUUUCCUAAUUAAAUGCUAUCAACCCUACAGAUGGUAAAAUGAUGUAUAUAAUUUGCUGAAUUCCCUAAACAAAGAGGCUUUCAAUGGAGGAGUGCAAUAAGAAUAUUCUUUGAAAAAAGUGAGAGCCCCAUUGGAAUCUGUAAACUUAACCCAAAGUAAAUAAAACCCGAAAAAUAUUUCUAAAGGCUAUACGAAUCUUUGAUUUAUGCUAAAAGAUUGAGAAUCAUGAAAAAGAAACAUGUUUUUAAGGAGAUUUAAAAAGUUUCAGCUCCCAUCAAGAGCCAGACAUGUACAUAAUUCCUAAUGAUUUUCAAGGAAGGUUUUAAAACCCAAACUACAGUUAUGAUAUAUUUUAGCAUUCCAAACAGGUAUUUAAAAAUUAUUUUAAAAAUAAUUAUGUUAAGACAGCAUGCAUAACCUAGGGCUGUCCUAAGCAAACUAGACAAUUGAAGCAUGGCCAUCCUACAUAAAUCCUCAUUCUAGAGAAGUGCACAUUUAGUUCUAGAACCAUUGCUGCAAAUCUUUCUACAGAUUGGAGGAGAGCUCACCAUGUUGUAAUUCACUCUGUAAUUGGGUUCCUCACAUUUUCCAAACAGUAAGCUGAAUCCUCAGGGAAGUUAACUUUCUUAUGGUCUCAUACCAACGCAUGCACCAUUUUUCUCUUGUCCCUUAGAAGUAUCCUUUCUAUAGUUCCUAGAUACUCAAUAUCUUAUCACCGUCCUGAAACUAAUUACAACCACAGCAGUAACACCCCUAGGGACACAGUUUCAAGAUUGUGAUUUUUUUCCCCUGGCACUCUGCACUUAUAAAUUAUACUAAUUUUUAUAAGCCUCAAGGCGUGAUUGUCUGGAGUGCUGUCAUAUUCAGAGUGCUAUUCAACUAUGAGGUUGUAAUAUUUCUUUCUUGAUAAUAGGAGAUCAACAAAAUAUAUCUUUCAAUAUAUCCAUGGAGAUCAAGUCUUUGAACAGUCCUAAGUCAAGGGAUUGUAGUGUCAACUUGCCAUUGUUUCUGGAUGGGUGGCUUCUUUUUCUUAUUUUGUUAGGGUAAAGAGAAAAAGACAGGUCUAACCCUUAAGUCUCUUUGCACUGCUGAACUUUCUCCCUUUAGAAGCAAAUACCAGGAAUGAAUUCUGGAGUACAGAGAAGUAAACUAGCAGUAAAAGCACAAGGGCUGAUGCUUUAGCGGAGUUUUGAGGGACAGAUUUAUACCAACAAGGCCUUUAGGACACUGUAUAUCUAGAGGUUCCAAAGUAUUCAGGAAAUAAUUGAAAAUAAGGAAAUUUUGUAGUAUCGUGGACUGUUUGUGGGGAAUGGUGCUGAAGGACUUUAAGUAGGAAAGAGUGUGUAGAAUGCACCUUUAAGAAGAAACUCAGGUGACUCUGAGAAAGCUAGGUAGGGAUGCAAUACAGUGCAACAUAAUGGCUGAGGACCAGCUAGAAGACUCUUGCCAAAGCUUCAAUAAGAGAAGAAAGAUCUGAACUAUGGAUCUUUAGAAAACUGAUAAAAAUAGAUGGUCAGCAAGAGAUUUAGAUAUUAAACUUACAGGACUAGGUUUUCGCAAUACAAUAGAUAAUGAAACUGUACCAAACAACUUAAGGAAGGACUGUAUUAUGAAAAAUAAAAGAGGAGAGGAUGGCUAACAGAUUUCUAGCUAUGGAAACAGGGUAAUUGGUAGCUUUCUAAACUGAAGGAUUACUGGAGAAAGAGGGAGUAUUAGUUGGGCAUUGGUAGAGGUAAUGAGUUACACCUAAAUGUGUUAUUUUUAUGUGUUCAUAAAACAUCAGUUACAGGUGUCUGGAAACAGUAAAUGUCAUCCAGUCCAAUUCUCUUUGUUUUACGUGAGGAUACUAAGAUUUGGAGGAAUGAAGUAAGUGUAGGAAGAUCACCCAUAGUCUUACUGAAGAGUUAAGGCACCAAGGCCCUGACAUUCAGUCCAGAGUUUACAGUGAGUCUCUUUCUCUGAGCCCAAACUGACCAUGUCUUCACAUUGUUUAUUUGGUUGGUCAAAGAAAAAUUGGUUGAGUUAAUAACAUUUUAAUUCCUGUAAAGACUUGGCCUGAGUGUUGCCCUUUUCUUAAGUUAUUGCCUUGCAUGCUAGUUGUGUUUCAGCAAUAGUUGUCUGCAUUAAGAAAUUGCAUAAAUCCUGCUUUGGGAGCAAAAUUCUAUAUGGAAGAUGACGCAUCUCUGUGAUGUCACAGGUUCCUGAGAGGGUUUUCUAAAGGCUUUUGCUGAAGGCAGUAAUAUUCGGCCUGGGUGUCCCUGUUUCCUCUUUUUGUUUUAUUUUGUGCAGCUGCGUUGGAAACAAGCAGAGGAAGUAACCAAAAGUGGAUCUGGAUUAGAAUGAUUCUCCAACUUCCCUUUCCAGCAUCUGUCUUACUAUGGGGCAAUUCAAACAGGAGGCAACCUCACAAACAGCCCUUUGUCAAAGUUAACAGCAUGUUUUUCUUGUGAGAAAUGCUUUUGCCUAAUGUGAGUUUUGAAAACUGUUGCUCAUCAAAAGUGGAAGUGUUUGACCUUCUUUGGAGUACACUUAAUGGUGGUAAUGUCACCACUUCCACAAAGUAAAGACAGAUGUUUGUAAUACGAGGUUGACACUGAAAAAAGUUUUUUAGGUUCACAUUAAUAUAUCAUUAAUAAAAGAUUAAUUUU
rnacentral:lncRNA from 1 species